rnacentral:rRNA from 1 species
AACGAACGCUGGCGGCAGGCUUAACACAUGCAAGUCGAACGCACUCUUCGGAGUGAGUGGCAGACGGGUGAGUAACGCGUGGGAAUCUACCCAGUCCUUCGGAAUAGCUCCUGGAAACGGGAAUUAAUACCGGAUACGCCCUUUUGGGGAAAUAUUUAUGGGGAUUGGAUAAGACCGCGUAGGAUUAGCUAGUUGGUGGGUUAAUGGCCUAACAAGGCGACGAUCUUUAGCUGGUCUGAGAGGAUGAUCAGUCACACUGGGACUCAGACACGUCCCAGACUCCUUCGGGAGGCAGCAGUGGGGAAUAUUGGACAAUGGGCGCAAGCCUGAUCCAGCCAUGCCGCGUGAGUGAUGAAGGCCUUAGGGUUGUAAAGCUCCUUCACCGGUGAAGAUAAUGACGGUAACCGAAGAAGAAGCCCCGGCUAACUUCGUGCCAGCCGCCGCAGUAA